rnacentral:rRNA from 1 species
UACGUAGGGGGCAAGCGUUGUCCGGAAUCAUUGGGCGUAAAGAGCGUGUAGGCGGUUCGAUAAGUCUGCUGUGAAAGUCCAGGGCUCAACCCUGGGAUGCCGGUGGAUACUGUCGAACUUGAGUCCGGAAGAGGCGGGUGGAAUUCCUGGUGUAGCGGUGAAAUGCGCAGAUAUCAGGAGGAACACCAAUGGCGAAGGCAGCCCGCUGGGACGUGACUGACGCUGAGACGCGAAAGCGUGGGGAGCAAACAGG